GACGAACGCUGGCGGCGCGCCUAACACAUGCAAGUCGAACGAGCGAGAGAGAGCUUGCUUUCUCAAGCGAGUGGCGAACGGGUGAGUAACGCGUGAGGAACCUGCCUCAAAGAGGGGGACAACAGUUGGAAACGACUGCUAAUACCGCAUAAGCCCACGGCUCGGCAUCGAGCAGAGGGAAAAGGAGCAAUCCGCUUUGAGAUGGCCUCGCGUCCGAUUAGCUAGUUGGUGAGGUAAUGGCCCACCAAGGCGACGAUCGGUAGCCGGACUGAGAGGUUGAACGGCCACAUUGGGACUGAGACACGGCCCAGACUCCUACGGGAGGCAGCAGUGGGGAAUAUUGCACAAUGGGGGAAACCCUGAUGCAGCGACGCCGCGUGGAGGAAGAAGGUCUUCGGAUUGUAAACUCCUGUUGUUGAGGAAGAUAAUGACGGUACUCAACAAGGAAGUGACGGCUAACUACGUGCCAGCAGCCGCGGUAAAACGUAGGUCACAAGCGUUGUCCGGAAUUACUGGGUGUAAAGGGAGCGCAGGCGGGAAGACAAGUUGGAAGUGAAAUCCAUGGGCUCAACCCAUGAACUGCUUUCAAAACUGUUUUUCUUGAGUAGUGCAGAGGUAGGCGGAAUUCCCGGUGUAGCGGUGGAAUGCGUAGAUAUCGGGAGGAACACCAGUGGCGAAGGCGGUCUACUGGGCACCAACUGACGCUGAGGCUCGAAAGUGUGGGUAGCAAACAGGAUUAGAUACCCUGGUAGUCCACACUGUAAACGAUGAUUACUAGGUGUUGGAGGAUUGACCCCUUCAGUGCCGCAGUUAACACAAUAAGUAAUCCACCUGGGGAGUACGACCGCAAGGUUGAAACUCAAAGGAAUUGACGGGGGCCCGCACAAGCGGAGGAACAUGUGGUUUAAUUCGAUGAUACGCGAGGAACCUUACCCGGGCUUAAAUUGCAACAGAAUAUAUUGGAAACAGUAUAGCCGUAAGGCUGUUGUGAAGGUGCUGCAUGGUUGUCGUCAGCUCGUGCCGUGAGGUGUCGGCUUAAGUGCCAUAACGAGCGCAACCCUUAUCUUUAGUUACUAACAGGUUAUGCUGAGGACUCUAGAGAGACUGCCGUCGUAAGAUGUGAGGAAGGUGGGGAUGACGUCAAAUCAGCACGGCCCUUACGUCCGGGGCUACACACGUGUUACAAUGGGGGGUACAGAAGGCCGCUACCUGGUGACAGGAUGCUAAUCCCAAAAACCUCUCUCAGUUCGGAUCGAAGUCUGCAACCCGACUUCGUGAAGCUGGAUUCGCUAGUAAUCGCGCAUCAGCCAUGGCGCGGUGAAUACGUUCCCGGGCCU
rnacentral:rRNA from 1 species